UACAGAGGGGGCGAGCGUUGUUCGGAAUUACUGGGCGUAAAGGGCGCGUAGGCGGCCAACUAAGUCAGACGUGAAAUCCCUCGGCUUAACCGGGGAACUGCGUCUGAUACUGGAUGGCUAGAGGUUGGGAGAGGGAUGCGGAAUUCCAGGUGUAGCGGUGAAAUGCGUAGAGAUCGUAAGGAAGGCCAGUGGCGAAGGCGAGUUCCUGGACAGUUACUGACGCUGAGGCACGAAGGCCAGGGGAGCAAACAGG
rnacentral:rRNA from 1 species